rnacentral:lncRNA from 13 species
GCCGGGUGGAAGAGUCCCAAGCCCUCUCAGUUAUGGGAAACAUCCCUGUGACUCUGUGGGAAGGACCACAGAAAUGGGAGCAAUUUCAAGAGGGCAGACAGACUCUGCCCCCUGCCCCAUCAACACCCACAGCCAUGACUGCCUUUCCUCCUCCUCCCUAUCCUCCUUUGUCCAUCUCACCACAAGCCUGGAUGCCGUGCUGAGCCCUGCAUAUAAAGUGUCUCAUUCAACCAUCAUAACAACCCCAUUCUACAGAGGAAGACACUGAUGCAUUGGGAUUAUGAACAACAUGCCCAGAGAUACCCUAUUUCUCUGCAGAGCUGGCUCCAGCCCCAGUCCAGGCCUGUUACAGAGCACAGUCUCACUGCGUCUAGGGCAGGACGGUGGCGUGAAGAACAUGAGAUUCAAAACUUCAGAGUACGUCGUUCUGCCUCAGCCAAGCUCUCUGAUCUGGAACCACAAGAGGUUGUUUCUAAUUGAGAAGGUGCUCAUGCCUAUAAUCCCAGCACUUUGGGAGGCCAAGGUCUCUGCAAAACCUCCAGCUCCUGCCUUCCUGAGCCUUCGGAAUCCAGAACUGUAUGGGAGCCAUAGACAGAGGGCCAGGGCAGGAGGCCUCCCUGGUCACUGAGCCCAGGGUUGGGCCACACGCCGUGCUUCUCAGCACCCAUGGUUGUGUCACUCUCAUUGGUGGUGCUGGCUUUAGGAGGAUGAUGAGGACUCUUUCUGACUCCCCUCGUCAAGGUGCCCAUAUUCUUUGAGCCAUCUCCUUUCCUGGGCUUCCCCCUGGCCUCCCAAUUUUAGGAUGGUGGGACUAUCUGAUAAGCUAAGCUUUCGAGGGCAGCCCAGGAGGGAAGGCAGCGCAUGGCUGCACGGAACCUUGCCUGGAGAUGCAGAUGAAGACACACAGCCACACGGCUUCCCUUCACUCAGGUCUUUCCAAUAGAGAAACUAUUCAUGGAAGCCCCUAGGCCUGUGCACGAGGACAAAGCAACAGAGAAAUAACAUUCAGUUCUAGGAUGCCUGAAGUCCACUUAAGAACAAGGGGACAUUUAUUAGCCAAGCAGCUGGGAGCCUUCAGGGACAUUGUUGGUGUUUUCCUGCUGCCGGCUCCCUGACCAGGUUGGAGCCCAGAGCACCAUGCCAAGUUCUUGACGGCAGACCCUGCAGGCUGCUGAGUAAUCUGAGGAGGGUGAGAUUCCUCCACUGACAGCUCUCAGCUGGACAGUGAGCACCCAUGACCUGGGAGAAGGAGCCCAAGGCUCUGCCCCUCAUAAAUUAUUACAUGGCCACCUUGUGGCUCAGAGUGCCCUACCUACAAUAUGAAAAUGACAUAAUGUUGAAUGAUUUAUUUAUGUCUUUAACAAUCAUCUACUGAGCACACAUGGCCAUGUGGUUACUCCCCUUGAGCUCACAAUCUAACCUGGCCAUCAUGGUGAAAUCCUUUAUCUACUAAAAAUAGAAAAAUUUGCUGUGUGUGGUGGCACACGCCUAUAAUCCCAGCUACUUGGGAGGCUGAGGCAGGAGAUCACUUGAACCCGUGAGGGGGAGAUUGCAGUGAGCCAAGGCGGUGCCACUGCACUCCAGCCUGGACAACAGAGCAAGACUUCGUCUCAAAAAUAAAUAAAUAAACAAAAGUCA